rnacentral:lncRNA from 1 species
UCAAAUACGGGUCAAUGAGUGGUUUCACUUGCCUUUUAGGAUCCAAAAGCAACCAUCAAUCAAUCAAACCAAAACCAACUAAAACGUUUUAAGAGCUUUAAAGGUCCAAAAGCAAGACAAAGUCAAGUAAUCAACUUAUUUUAGGGAGAUUAAGGGAAAUAGGCAAUCACAAGCUCAUUUAGGCACAAGGUUCACCAAUCCAUGCAUUAAGCAUCACCUUAGCAAAACAUGGUAACCAAUGAAAGCAAACAAGCAAUUGAAUUAAAACAUUAAUGCUACCAAAUACUCAAAUGUGAACACUAACCAAGCAUUCAAACUCAAUCAAAUAUUUUUAGGAAUUUCAAAGGUCCAAAGGCUAGAAAAAGGUUAAGCAACAAAUUUAUUUAGGAAAAUUAAAGAAAAUAGACAAACAUAAGCUCAUGUAGACC